UGUUAAAAAAAUUCAUCAAUUUGUACUACAAAAUAUAAGUAUCGUGGACAGGAUAAAUACGUCACGUGCCAUGUGUACCUCAUGCUGACAUAUAAGAACAAAUUUUUAACAGUAAAAAUAGAUGUAAUUUUUAACA
rnacentral:pre_miRNA from 1 species